UCACAAUGAAACUAUUAAAUCAAUUUGUAUUGGCAAUCGCAGUCUUGGCUCUAUUUGCUGGACACACUGAAGCUAAGGGAGGCGCUAGUGCUGGUAAAGGUGGUGGAAAAGGUGGCAAGGGUCAUUCUGAACAUGUAGCUGUUGGUGUGGUCAAGCAUGUGGGAGCGGCUGCUGCCAAAGAAGGUGUAAGACAAUAUGCUAACAGGCAUUAAAUUAAGAAAAAAAAUAUAAAGAAAUAAAUAAAACUAAGGUUUUUGAGAAUAAUUAAGAA